UGCAGUCGAACGCACAGCGAAAGGUGCUUGCACCUUUCAAGUGAGUGGCGAACGGGUGAGUAACACGUGGACAACCUGCCUCAAGGCUGGGGAUAACAUUUGGAAACAGAUGCUAAUACCGAAUAAAACUUAGUGUCGCAUGACACAAAGUUAAAAGGCGCUUUGGCGUCACCUAGAGAUGGAUCCGCGGUGCAUUAGUUAGUUGGUGGGGUAAAGGCCUACCAAGACAAUGAUGCAUAGCCGAGUUGAGAGACUGAUCGGCCACAUUGGGACUGAGACACGGCCCAAACUCCUACGGGAGGCUGCAGUAGGGAAUCUUCCACAAUGGGCGAAAGCCUGAUGGAGCAACGCCGCGUGUGUGAUGAAGGCUUUCGGGUCGUAAAGCACUGUUGUAUGGGAAGAACAGCUAGAAUAGGGAAUGAUUUUAGUUUGACGGUACCAUACCAGAAAGGGACGGCUAAAUACGUGCCAGCAGCCGCGGUAAUACGUAUGUCCCGAGCGUUAUCCGGAUUUAUUGGGCGUAAAGCGAGCGCAGACGGUUGAUUAAGUCUGAUGUGAAAGCCCGGAGCUCAACUCCGGAAUGGCAUUGGAAACUGGUUAACUUGAGUGCAGUAGAGGUAAGUGGAACUCCAUGUGUAGCGGUGGAAUGCGUAGAUAUAUGGAAGAACACCAGUGGCGAAGGCGGCUUACUGGACUGUAACUGACGUUGAGGCUCGAAAGUGUGGGUAGCAAACAGGAUUAGAUACCCUGGUAGUCCACACCGUAAACGAUGAACACUAGGUGUUAGGAGGUUUCCGCCUCUUAGUGCCGAAGCUAACGCAUUAAGUGUUCCGCCUGGGGAGUACGACCGCAAGGUUGAAACUCAAAGGAAUUGACGGGGACCCGCACAAGCGGGGGAGCAUGUGGUUUAAUUCGAAGCACCCGAAAAACCUUACCAGG
rnacentral:rRNA from 1 species